rnacentral:rRNA from 1 species
UACGUAGGGGGCAAGCGUUGUCCGGAUUUAUUGGGCGUAAAGCGCUCGCAGGUGGUUCGUCGCGUCGUGCGUGAAAGACCCCGGCUCAACUGUGGGCGUGCGGGCGAUACGGGCAGACUGGAGUACUGCAGGGGAGACUGGAAUUCCUGGUGUAGCGGUGGAAUGCGCAGAUAUCAGGAGGAACACCGGUGGCGAAGGCGGGUCUCUGGGCAGUAACUGACGCUGAGGGGCGAAAGCGUGGGGAGCGAACAGG